GUCGAUCGGCGCCGCCGGACAGCGAGGCCACGAGAGCGCGCGUAGUCCGCCCCGCCCUUAUAAACCCGGCCGCCGCGCGCGUGCCCGCCCGCGUUCGCCCUUGAUUGGCCGAUGGACUCUAGGGCUCGCCUCCGCCGCACUCGGAUUGGAUGUCCACACUAGCCCCGGCCCCCGAUUCAGAAUAGCUACGGAGGCCACCUUCGCCCUCUCCCGGGAUUGGCCGAGGAGCUCGCGCUCGCGCUCUUCCCCAGCCUCUCAUUGGCUUCCGGCGAAGAACUUUCUCUGCCUCGACUUGUAACUGGUGGCUUUCUCCCACACUUUCUGCAGGUCAGGAAUGGCUGCCACCUUCGGAGGCCCGAGCUCUGCGGCUCCUGAUUGGCCAAGUGAUGCGCGCACCCCGCGCAAUCCUUCGUCGAACGUGGCAGUGGGGAGGAGUCCCCAGCCGAGGGGCGGAGCUGCGUCUGCGCCUCCGAAACCCCUCGUGUUGCAUUCUGACUGGACCGCGUACCCGUAGCUGGCACCGCCCUCCCGGCUCGCGGGGCGGAAUCUGGGCUGACGCAACUUCCGGCGCGCGUGAGAUCCCACGAAUCUGUGCGAUGCUUCUCAGGCGCUGGGUGGCAGCCACGAAAGAAUCCCCGACCCCACGCAGCUCCAGACCCGCUCUGUGCAACCGGUGGACCCCUAGCUGCCACCGAGGCUGCUGAGCGCUUGAAGUCUGGCUGGCGCUACUAAAACGGGCCCUGAGUGUAACACCCACCCGACUCAAAACUAAGAAUACGGGCAAAAGAAUGUACGAUAUUUUCACAUGUUCAAAUAUUUUGGGCUAAAAACAUUAAAUACAUUGGGUUAAGUACAAAUACUC
rnacentral:lncRNA from 1 species